AGGACGAACGCUGGCGGCGUGCUUAACACAUGCAAGUCGAGCGGUAAGGCCCUUUCGGGGGUACACGAGCGGCGAACGGGUGAGUAACACGUGAGUAAUCUGCCCUUCACUUCGGGAUAACUACCGGAAACGGUGGCUAAUACCGGAUAUGACCCCCUUUCGCAUGUUGGGGGGUGGAAAGUUCCGGCGGUGGAGGAUGUGCUCGCGGCCUAUCAGCUUGUUGGUGAGGUAAUGGCUCACCAAGGCUUCGACGGGUAGCCGGCCUGAGAGGGUGACCGGCCACACUGGGACUGAGACACGGCCCAGACUCCUACGGGAGGCAGCAGUGGGGAAUAUUGGACAAUGGGCGAAAGCCUGAUCCAGCAACGCCGCGUGAGGGAUGACUGCCUUCGGGUUGUAAACCUCUUUCAGUACCGACGAAGCGAGAGUGACGGUAGGUACAGAAGAAGCACCGGCCAACUACGUGCCAGCAGCCGCGGUAAUACGUAGGGUGCGAGCGUUGUCCGGAAUUAUUGGGCGUAAAGGGCUCGUAGGCGGUUUGUCGCGUCGGGAGUGAAAACUCAGGGCUUAACUCUGAGCUCGCUUCCGAUACGGGCAGACUAGAGGUAUGCAGGGGAGAACGGAAUUCCUGGUGUAGCGGUGAAAUGCGCAGAUAUCAGGAGGAACACCGGUGGCGAAGGCGGUUCUCUGGGCAUUACCUGACGCUGAGGAGCGAAAGUGUGGGGAGCGAACAGGAUUAGAUACCCUGGUAGUCCACACCGUAAACGUUGGGCGCUAGGUGUGGGGUCCAUUCCACAGAUUCCGUGCCGCAGCUAACGCAUUAAGCGCCCCGCCUGGGGGAGUACGGCCGCAAGGCUAAAACUUAAAGGGAAUUUGACGG
rnacentral:rRNA from 1 species